UGUAGCUUUUGGGUCUUCUUCUUAGUGGGUUUUACGUUUCUGCAGCUACAGUGGACAAACUACAAGUUGGUCAUCAAGCUCAGCUCACUGCUUAAAAAGAGAACUGAUUGAGUAGAUAUUGGAUCUGGUUGAGCUACACAUAAGGUUUUGAACAUUAACUCAGCCUCUCAAGGGGGAGUCUUGCAAUCGUGUGCUGC